UUAAGUUUUCGCGACCUGUAAAUGCUUACGUUACCUCAUCUCAUGGCCGCAUAUUUUGCAUUAUGUCACUAUUUCAUUUGUAACAAAUUUAUCGGCUUCCUUUUGACUUGGAAACCCAAAAUGGUUCCACACCGGCGACUUCGCUGGAGUGAUGCCAAUGCUGUCCUCCUCAGCUGACAUUUUUCACAGAAUUGCAGUAGAUCGAAUGGCGCCAAGUCAUAAAACAAUCUGCGUGCAAAUUUUAUUUUUUAAAACACUUUAAAUGUCGAAGACAGCACAUAUCUGCAAUGUUUUAAAUACAGUGUGUCUUUACUGUUGUCAGAUACUCAUUUUGCGAUCUCAUUUUUAUAUUUAUGUGCAUGUCGUGAUGUUUGCCGUAAAGAGCCUCACAUCAGAACACGUGACUGCUGUAAACAUUACAAAAGACCGUCGAUUGCAUUUUUGUUUUUUGUUCUUUUGCUAAAUAGACAAGAAUAAGUUCUGAUUUUAUGAAUAUUCAAAUAUUUACCAUGCGAAUAAUGAAUAUGUAUUCAACGACAGGGCAAUAUUCGGUGCACCGAAUAUUCGAGUGUAUCGUAAUGGCUCUGUCACACAAUGUACAUCAUUAUUGACUAUGUGCUAAUUUCUGCUAGCAUGUCUUUGAGCACUGCCGUCUUACGUUUGCUUGCAUAAUUUCGCUUGCAUAAAUGUGAAUUACGAAUCGAUUCUGUUCAGCUGUUCUACAGUACAUUUUAAAUAGGUAGUUGGAAAUUUUCAAGUUCCAAGUUACUGGGAAAGCGUCAUGCGUGAUACUGCUAAUAAUGAAUAAUAUAUAGAAUAUACCUUUUUCCCUUUAGAUAAUCCAUGCAUAUCGACACAGAACAACAGUACCUCCAUGAAUGUUGACCAAUCAGAUGAUGGUGAUGCAACCUGCUCAGUUUGGUCAUGCUCUUGGCCCUGCUGUCAGCACAGGGCAAUCUCGUGGAACACGAAAAUGCAUCCUAAGGAAGAGGUCAUGGCAAUCACAAACCCACAACCCCGGAGGUGUGAGGCAACAGUGCUAACCACUAAGCCACUGGGCUGUCUGCAUUACCCUUGCAAGGCCCCAACCUGCCCAUAUAAGCGUGGAGCCCCCUGCUGGCCUGUCCUGCGGCUCCUCCUCUGAGGCAUGCUGCUUGCUAGCAGUAGCUGCACUGCCCCCUAUCUUCACCUUGCUCUGCAGGAAUUAGUCUGAUUAAAGAGCUCAGGGCAAGCCCUUGACCAGGAGGCUACUUACACCUUACAGGGUGUGCAGACCUACCUCAUGAUGACCACCUGGACAAACGGCCUGUCUGUGUUUUUACACAAUCUUUCAUAAAAAACACAAAAACAACAAACACGACACCAUGACAAAAAAACAACUAUGUCCAUCAUGAUACUCAAACUCCUACGACAAGACAGCGCAAAGGCGGCGGGGGUGUUUGUCAACAAAAACAGAGGAGUAACAGCAGCAAAGAUUUCACACCGGCAGUCUUCUUGGGGGAGCUCCUACGGAGGACUGACUCCAUUCUUCCACAUGCCUGCAUUUGCUGAUUUAAAACAAAGGCUAUGGUUCAAAAUAAAAAAAUAUAAAAAAAUUAACUUUUCUCCAUACUAUACACUGACAAAGUAUCAUUAGCAGUCAUGCACAAGCAACACAAAACAGCUCUCUUUAGAAAUAAAAGCUUCAUUUAGCCCCUUGCCUUCAUCUGGCUGGGUGUUGCGAGCAUGUGGGGAGGGGGGGCAGGCCCUUGGUCCCUGGAGCCUUGCUCAGAUGAUCAGCUGCACACAGAGCCAACGCCUGGGUCACAAGACAACCUCCCCCCCAUUCCCUUGAUUAUGGAGACUGUUCAACCCAAAUGGUAGUGGAGUACAGCUGUAAAAGGCCUGUCGGACAGUCAGCAAGGAUGGAUUCAAUACUUUCUUCAAAACUAAUUUCAAUAGCAUUUAAACCCAUCAUGCCUCACUCCUAAUAUAGACUGGAUUAUUGACUGAAAGAUAAAAAGUACAGGUUUUUACAUGUCUUUCUCUAACAUGUAAUUCAUUUACAAUGACAACAGCAAAUAUUCCUUGCCAAGGAAUCUGCUUAUCGUGAUAAAGGGCUGCACGUUUUAGCACGUUCAUGGCCACGUUAGCUUAACAGGUGAUGCGGGAAAACUACAUAAAACCAUAGAGACUGUUCACACCAUCAAUGAGCUACAAAUCCAGGGGAAAGACAGACACACAGACAGACAGACAAAGAGAGAGACACACUAACCAUAACCCUUUACAGAACUUCACGUCUGCAGUUUAACAGACUACAAUCACAGCACUCCAACUUACAAGGAAAGCCUAGGGGGCAUUUUAAAAACCACCCCCUUUCCAUUGAAAGGAAGUUCUUCCCUAACUGAUGAACGACUGGGAUGUUCAGCAAUCAGGCAAGUGCCAAGGAUGGCUAUGUGCACCAUCAUGCCAAAGCAUUACAACGGACACACAAGAAGAACAGUACAGAUAUAUCACCACCUGCUAAAUGCCGCAUUUGUACUGACUAUGUACAAAACACAACUGAGCAGAGGGUAAUGAGACAGAGUCAUGACCAAGAGGCUACCAGGUCAAGCUCUCGGGCAGUAGAGAGGAGGCUUUUCUGGCAAAAUACUUGUACUGCUUUGAACAGGUUUUAAGUCUGAAAUCUAACUGUAAGUCACUCUGGAAUCAAGCAGGCAAAUAAAUAAUGCAUGAAAAUAAUGUGAAAUGUGCUGAUAAAACCAAAAAUCUCCUGGGAGACCACAGAGAACUGCACAGCACUCUGCCUUCCUG